rnacentral:rRNA from 1 species
AACGAACGCUGGCGGCGUGGAUAAGACAUGCAAGUCGAACGGGAGAAUUGCUAGCUUGCUAAUAAUUCUCUAGUGGCGCACGGGUGAGUAACACGUGAGUAACCUGCCUCUUAGUGGGGGAUAGCCCUGGGAAACCGGGAUUAAUACCGCAUACGAUUGAAAGAUCAAAGCAGCAAUGCGCUAGGAGAUGGGCUCGCGGCCUAUUAGUUAGUUGGUGAGGUAACGGCUCACCAAGGCGAUGACGGGUAGCCGGUCUGAGAGGAUGUCCGGCCACACUGGAACUGAGACACGGUCCAGACACCUACGGGUGGCAGCAGUCGAGAAUCAUUCACAAUGGGGGCAACCCUGAUGGUGCGACGCCGCGUGGGGGAAUGAAGGUCUUCGGAUUGUAAACCCCUGUCAUGUGGGAGCAAAUAA